UGGGGAAUAUUGGACAAUGGGGGCAACCCUGAUCCAGCAAUGCCGCGUGUGUGAAGAAGGCCUUCGGGUUGUAAAGCACUUUCAGUAGGGAAGAAAGACACAGGGUUAAUACCUCUGUGUGUUGACGUUACCUACAGAAGAAGCACCGGCUAACUCUGUGCCAGCAGCCGCGGUAAUACAGAGGGUGCAAGCGUUAAUCGGAAUUACUGGGCGUAAAGCGUGCGUAGGUGGAUAUUUAAGUCGAAUGUGAAAUCCCCGGGCUUAACCUGGGAACUGCAUCCGAUACUGGGUAUCUGGAGUAUGGUAGAGGAAAGUGGAAUUCCCGGUGUAGCGGUGAAAUGCGUAGAUAUCGGGAGGAACAUCAGUGGCGAAGGCGACUUUCUGGACCAAUACUGACACUGAGGCACGAAAGCAUGGGGAGCAAACAGG
rnacentral:rRNA from 1 species